rnacentral:rRNA from 1 species
UACGUAGGGUGCAGGCGUUAAUCGGAAUUACUGGGCGUAAAGCGUGCGCAGGCGGUUUCUUAAGUCAGAUGUGAAAGCCCCGGGCUUAACCUGGGAACUGCGUUUGAAACUGGGAGACUAGAGUGUGGCAGAGGGGGGGUGGAAUUCCACGUGUAGCAGUGAAAUGCGUAGAUAUGUGGAGGAACACCGAUGGCGAAGGCAGCCCCCUGGGCUAACACUGACGCUCAGGCACGAAAGCGUGGGGAGCAAACAGG